rnacentral:lncRNA from 1 species
GGAUGCUGGCUACUGUGGUAAUGGGCUGACAUUUGCAGGAACUCUGGAAAUUAUUUCUGUGCCCUGGAAGGACCAGUACCAGAGCUCUGCCUCCCAGGAGUCCUGGCCUGCCCCCACCCCAUUGCCCCUGGGGAAGAGCUUGGGCCUGGAUGGAAGGGAAAGAAAUAUUCUGCAGCCUGAGGAUGGGAAGGGGAGAGUGGGAGAGAGGGGCUGAGGGUAAAGUCACAUUUACUGAGCACCCAGUUUGUGACAGGCUUUCUGCUGCAUGCAUCACAUCCAUUAUUUCCUUAACCACUCCACUGUCCCUGAGAUGGAGUGGUCUCCCAAUCCCCAUUUCUAGAAGGAACUGAGGCACAAAACCACAUCAUUCUGUGGCUAAGUAAUAGAGCCAUUACUCACUCCGAGCUCCUCUGACUGGUUGUAGUCGAUACGAAUAUACUAUUUACUCUCGAAUGUCAAGAGUCAACUUCCCAUUUCCCCUCCUCCCAUGCAUGGUCUGCUUGGGCCCCAGCAAUAGCAAAAUGUUCCAGAAGCAGAGAUGCAAGCUGGUGGCAGUUCCCAGCUCAGUCUGUCCUCUCCAGCUGGAAUGAGCCCCAGGAGGGCAGGUGGCCCCUGUUUUGCUUCUGCACUGGUGCACAGGGAAUGCAGACUUGCAAACUGAGGCACAGUCCACUUGGCCUCAGUGAGGGCCAGUCAGGCAGGAAUGCAGCACACCUGCCCAGCACAAGGCCCAGCAGCUGCCCAAGGAGAUGGUUCAGCCUCUCUCCCGUACCUGGGAAGAGCACUGAGGUGGGGGUCACCCUGGCAGAAAGAAGCUCCUGCCUCGAUUUCUCCUCAGUCUCUAGACAUGACUGGAAUGGCUUUGUCUAGUCAAGGCCUGCUGUGGAUGUGCCACCUUCCAGCCGAGGGUUAGUCUCCCAGGUCAGGGAAGACAGCGCACUGCAGCCCAUGCGUAUUGGAACUGCUGAUCCAGGCCACUGGACCCAACACUUAGAAUCUCGUUGGGGGGAUCCCUGGGUGGCUCAGUGGUUUGGCGCCUGCCUUUGGCCCAGGGCGCGAUCCUGGAGUCCCGGGAUCGAGCCCCGCGUUGGUCUCCCGGCAGGAAGCCUGCUUCUCCCUCCUCCUGUGUCUCUGCCUCUCUAUGUCUAUCAUAAAUAAAUAAAUAAAUCUUUUUUUUAAAAAAAAAAAA